AUAUAUAUAUAAUCGAUAGCUCACGAAAUUAGAUCCCUUAUCAUACAUGUUAAUUUCAAAGUAAUGCAACCAAAAUCUUAAAUUGAUUUGGGAUAUAAUCUUAUGUGAUUUUCUUAGAAAAUAUUCACAUUUUGGGUGUUUCCCAAUCGGUACCCUCAUUUUUUUUCCCAAAUACUAUCUAUAAUUUAAAAAUACCUAAAAUACCUCAAAAAUUUUCUCAUCAAAAUUUUCAUAUUUUUUUACUAUUUUAAUGUUUUCAUUUGGAACGCUAUAGUAGUUUUAUUAAGAUGUUGAAAAACUCUAAGCUAUAUCUAUUUGGUUAUCAUUACUCGUAAGUCAUUAUAAUAUCAUAUUUUUAUGUUUGUCGUUGGUUUAGUUAAGAUUAGGAGUUUAUUUUUAUCAUUUAUAGUGAUUUGUUGUGAUGAUCAAAAUAUUAUAACAGGCUAAAAAUACUAUAAUAGGCCAAAAUACUAUAUAACAACCGAAAAAAAAUUUGAGAGGUAAUUUGAAAUUUCUUUUGAAUUAAGGGUAUUGUUUGAGAAAAAUCAAAAUAGGGCUAUUGUUUGAGAAAUAUAUAAAACGUGGGUGUAUUUUAGGAAAAUCACCCGAUAAUUUUCAUGCGCAAAUUCGUUACAAGAGAAAACCUAUAAGGAUUCAAAUCGCCCGCCCGCUCUCCCCCUCCCUUCAUGGCUUCAGUUUCAAUCUCCUCCCCGUAUCUCCUAUCCUUCUCCCCGCUCGUCAACAGGGCUUCCUCGGCAGAUUCGGUGGCAGCCAGAGUCGGUCUCCACCUCCUCCUCCACCGGCAAGGGCCCCCAUCUCCAUCGCUGGUUAAUACAUCUUCCACUUCUUUCCCUUUCUGUCUACCUUCUCUGAUCUGCCCAUUAGGUACUUCUCCGCCUUUUCUUUGGUAGUUUCCUUGGUCGAGGGUACCACCUGCUGUGCGAUACUUUUGGAGGCAGCCUCUAUUCUGUAUUUGGCUUCCCACAAUUCUCUAUUACUUCACUUCUCGCUCCUGGUUUAUAGAAUGAUGCAAUCUCAUUGGUGUAUGUAUAUGAACUACAAUUGAGGCUUUCUUUGAAAUUGAUGAAAGUAUAGGCAUUCUAUUAAGAACUAUAUUGGGAAAGUAAGAGUUGCAUUUUCACUCAAAUCUAGCAUAUGCUUCCUUCUUAAAUCAUAACUGUAACUUUCUUGUGUAGGGUUCUGCUGGAAGUCCCAUAUUGCUUGGUUUCCUUUUGUACCAUCAUAACAUAUGCAUAAAUCUCAUGCAGUUUAUUGUCAUUAAUUUGCCUUUUGUCCAUAGCAUCAUAGUAUCACGGAGUUAUAUAGUACAUAAUACAUAAUGUAUUGUUUGUGUAACACUUUUGAUUAGUUCUACAUCAAAAGUGAUAGGAUUAAGAUUGACUUUUAUGAUGAUUCAAUUUAAACAUUUUGGUUAAUGGUUUGGGUCAAAACAAAGUUGAUUGGUUAGUUAACCCAUCAAACCUGGAUCAUGAUAUUUGGUAUCAAAAUCAACUACUAGGAUAAAGUUAGAGGAUUUGUCAUGGCAUUGAGUCAUCAUUGAGUUGUCUCAUAUGCGUCAUGCUUGAGUGGGGGAGAUUAAAAUACCCUUGAUAGUCUCACAUCCAAAGUGAACAAGACUAACAUUGACUUAUAUGGGUCUGAUGAGUAUGUUACUAUUAAUUUUAAUUUAAAUAUUUUGAACAGUGAUAUGAACCAAAUAAAAUUGAUAUAUUGGUUACAAUAAGGGCCCAACUUUGGUUGGUGUCCUUAUUGAUUCUUAUUCUUUUCAAAAUACACAGCCAUAUUAGCUAGACACUUAGUCAUUUUUUGGGUUCUGAGUGGUUGCAUAUCAGACUCAAUGGAGCUUGAACAUUACUUUUAAAAAGCAAUAGCUUUUAAUUGUAUUGGGUUGCCCAGACUCAAUUCCUAAUUGCCUGUUCUUUUCUUUCAAUGAACAUUACUGAAAAGGUUUGCCCAGGUGAGCACACUCUUACGGAAAUAGUGUGAAAGUGAGAAGAUAUUCUUCUUUUCUGUUGCAUGCAAGAGUGACUUUCCAUAUUCUUAUCCUUAUGGUAGUAUGUGCAAAGGAUUUAAACAUCGAUCAAUAUGUUCUGGUCUGUCCAAAUAUAUAUCUUCUUUUUAUAUAACUGUAUCAGCAGUACUUCAAUGAACCAUCCGUGAGGAGACUUGCUUCUGCAACACAGUAUUAUUUCUCUCUAUAUCAGAUGCCUUUCCCUACAAUUUUCUUGGUUGGAUAUGGGAAGCUGUCUGCGUUUUCAGUAGUUCCUAUAUAGUAUUUUAUAUUAUUUGCCUUUUGUCAUCUAACAUGCUGUCAUGCGACUAUAUCUUUACAUUAUGAGGUCGAAGCUCCAUGGAGAUGGCCUGUUGAUGGUGACAGGAAGGUGCUCUCCUCUGCAAGCCAGUAGUACAGUUUCCAGGGGACAAAACAUACCUCUUAAAAGGCAGUAGAAGCAUAACUGUGAAUUCUGAGCUACAUUUGUUGAUAUUGUCUCCAUACUAGUAAGAAAUAGAGAGAAGACUCCACGCUCUUGACACUGUGGCCUCUCGCCCAUUUGUGACCUCCACCACCAUCAGUGUUCGCGUGUCGCGAGGAGACGGUGAAACCAAGUCACAUUGGCCGACCUUUUUCUCUGACGCGUCUCCUCUGCUCCUUUAUUCCCCCCCGACAACAGGUGUCUCUAUUUGCGCCGCAUGAUCCAAGCAACUCAAUCAUGCAGUGUACGGAGGCACCCAAAAGAUCAAAGUAAAGCAACAAAGAUCUGCGUUUUCUCGGAUGAUUGCCUUUAAAUAAAACCGGAGGUUGAUUCUUUUCUGCCGCUGCUACUUGAUCUGUCCUUUGUCUCGCAUGCGAUGCUCCUCCUUCGCAGCGCUUCGUUGCCUCUGCCGAACUCGUCGUGGGUGGCGGCCGCAGCCCAUGAGUUAGCUGUGGGGGUGGGGGAGCUGGUGGUUCCGCCGCUCACGAGGGCCCGCUCGCUGGCCCACCUCAUCACACCUUGCCUCUCCUCCUGCACCAGCGCCUCCUUCGGCGCCUCGCCCUCCGCUUCGUCUCCGUCCGCGAGGCGGCGGCUGGUGCUGCGAGCGAUGUCCGGGGUAGACCAUUCCCCCAGUUUCCGGGCGGCGCCCCUCGCCUCCCGCGGCUUGCCUUCCCCGCUGGAUAUAAAGGAGGUCAUCGAGGCAACUCAUUCGAGUUCCCCUGCUUCUUCUUCCACAUCGGAGCUGGACGAAAGCGGCGUGGUUAGCGAUGCUUGUACCGGUGGUGGUAGGACCUGCAGUGGUGGAAGAGGUAGACGAGGAAGUGGAGGAGGAGGUGGUGGUGCUGAAAAUGAUGGAAGCGGCGGACUCAACCCCUCGGAUUCUAACUAUGGGAACGAUGGAACGGACGCGUACUACCUGCAGAUGAUCGAAGCCGACCCGGGGAAUUCUCUUAUGCUCGGGAAUUAUGCCAAGUUCUUGAAAGAGGUUCGAGGAGACGUGGCCAAAGCGCAGGAGUACUGCGAGCGGGCGAUCCUGGCGAACCCGAGCGACGCCGGCGUGCUCGCACUCUACGCCGAUCUGGUGUGGGAGACUAGCCAUGACGCUCCUCGAGCUGAGACCUACUUCCGCCGAGCCGUCCAAGCUGCUCCCGGCGACUGCUACAUCUUGGCUUCUUAUGCCAGAGUCCUGUGGGACGCCGAGGAGGAAGAAGAGACGGAGUAACAGAGAGCAGCAACCAGUCUCCAGCUGCUUCAUAGAGACCACAGCCUUCGCCUCUCUCCGUCAUGUGGUCUGUCUCUCUCAUGAAGCAACACCUGACUGUAAAUUUUGUGUGAGUGGUGCGAUAGAGGAUGACGAACCAAAGUGGUGGCAGAGCACGAGGUUCCUCCUCAGAGUGCGGGAUCUAUGAGGGGUGAGCCUCGCCGUCCGACACCUUUGGAGCAUGACCCGUAUGUCAUCCUCGAGAUGGGCGAACAAGUUUCUUGAUUCCGAUCACUCUUAUUUUGAAUGCACUAUGAAGGUUAGGAAGGGACGUCGUGAGACAGCUCGACUUCAACACUGUGUCAAGCUGCAAACUUCAAACUGCUCUUUACGCCAACAUAUCCGUGCAACCAUGCUUUAUGCAUCGAAUCCAAGAUUGUCUCUCAUUUGAAUUAUUUUGUAACAGAAUGGACGAUUUAUGUGAAGAAACUUUUUCUAAAUGAUACUCUUAUUUUUAUUUGAUA